rnacentral:lncRNA from 11 species
GGCUUUGUUGACUUUUCAUUCAUUUGCAUCCUUGGUCCUAUUCUUUGUCACUGCAAGCAGGUUCCAACAGCCUGAGUUCUACCUCUCGAAGUAGACCUAUAGCAUCAAAGUCCCAAGCUCCCUCAAUGCUCUGAGGUGAAGUGCAUUCGAUGUGCAUUGGGUUCAUCAUAGUAGCGUCUGGCAGCAUUCCAUUGUUGCGCUGUUGCUCUGCAUUCACAGAUAAGCAACAUGGAGAUCCCUGCUGGUUCCACACUGAAAAGUUUUAUCAGCAUGUGUAACGACACCCAAUUCUUGGAAAACUACUUUUAAAAAGUAAUAUUUCCCCAUUAUAUUACUUCAAAAACCAUCUGGUUUAGAUAUUUAUUACAUUGUUGGAAAGUCACUUGCUGCCAUUAGGGGUUGCAAUGUUGAAAAGUAGCUCAUUAUGCUUCUUGUUGUGCUGCUUAUUAUUUUUCUGUUGCUUGCUCUGCAUCUCUCUCACUAAAAAAUCAAUAGGAUUAAUAAAAAGAUGACAUAAAAGUUUGAAAUUUCUUGUCCAUACACUUCUAAAAUGUCAGAAAUUGUAGUGUAAAGGUAAUUGUAAAACAUUGGCUUUACCCAAAUAAAAG